rnacentral:rRNA from 1 species
UACGAAGGGUGCAAGCGUUACUCGGAAUUACUGGGCGUAAAGCGUGCGUAGGUGGUUGUUUAAGUCUGUUGUGAAAGCCCUGGGCUCAACCUGGGAAUUGCAGUGGAUACUGGGCAACUAGAGUGUGGUAGAGGGAUGCGGAAUUUCUGGUGUAGCAGUGAAAUGCGUAGAGAUCAGAAGGAACAUCCGUGGCGAAGGCGGCAUCCUGGGCCAACACUGACACUGAGGCACGAAAGCGUGGGGAGCAAAC